UCUCCGUUGGUGAACCAGCGGAGGGAUCAUUACCGAGUGCAAACUCAUAACCCUUUGUGAACCUAUAUCUGUUGCUUCGGCGGCCCGCUCUCGGGCGAGCCCGCCGGUAAUAUCAGUAUCUCUGUUUGAACCCGACGAUACUUCUGAGUGUUCUUAGCGAACAGUUAAAACUUUUAACAACGGAUCUCUUGGCUCUAGCAUCGAUGAAGACGCAGC
rnacentral:misc_RNA from 1 species